rnacentral:rRNA from 1 species
UACAGAGGUCUCAAGCGUUGUUCGGAUUCAUUGGGCGUAAAGGGUGUGUAGGUGGCGCGCUAAGUCGGGUGUGAAAUUUCGGAGCUUAACUCCGAAACUGCAUUCGAUACUGGCGUGCUUGAGGACUGGAGAGGAGACUGGAAUUUACGGUGUAGCAGUGAAAUGCGUAGAUAUCGUAAGGAAGACCAGUGGCGAAGGCGGGUCUCUGGACAGUUACUGACGCUCAGGCACGAAAGCGUGGGGAGCAAAAGGG